AGAGUUUGAUCAUGGCUCAGGAUGAACGCCGGGCGGUGUGCCUAAUACAUGCAAGUCGAACGCGUUGGCCCAACUGAUUGGACGUGCUUGCACGGACUUGACGUUGGUUUACCAGCGAGUGGCGGACGGGUGAGUAACACGUAGGUAACCUGCCCCAAAGCGGGGGAUAACAUUUGGAAACAGAUGCUAAUACCGCAUAACAGCUUGAAUCGCAUGAUUCAAGCUUAAAAGAUGGUUUCGGCUAUCACUUUGGGAUGGACCUGCGGCGCAUUAGCUUGUUGGUAGGGUAACGGCCUACCAAGGCUGUGAUGCGUAGCCGAGUUGAGAGACUGAUCGGCCACAAUGGAACUGAGACAUGGUCCAUACUCCUACGGGAGGCAGCAGUAGGGAACCUUCCACAAUGGGCGCAAGCCUGAUGGAGCAACACCGCGUGAGUGAAGAAGGGUUUCGGCUCGUAAAGCUCUGUUGUUAGAGAAGAACGUGCGUGAGAGCAACUGUUCACGCAGUGACGGUAUCUAACCAGAAAGUCACGGCUAACUACGUGCCAGCAGCCGCGGUAAUACGUAGGUGGCAAGCGUUAUCCGGAUUUAUUGGGCGUAAAGCGAGCGCAGGCGGUUUGAUAAGUCUGAUGUGAAAGCCUUUGGCUUAACCAAAGAAGUGCAUCGGAAACUGUCAGACUUGAGUGCAGAAGAGGACAGUGGAACUCCAUGUGUAGCGGUGGAAUGCGUAGAUAUAUGGAAGAACACCAGUGGCGAAGGCGGCUGUCUGGUCUGCAACUGACGCUGAGGCUCGAAAGCAUGGGUAGCGAACAGGAUUAGAUACCCUGGUAGUCCAUGCCGUAAACGAUGAGUGCUAGGUGUUGGAGGGUUUCCGCCCUUCAGUGCCGCAGCUAACGCAUUAAGCACUCCGCCUGGGGAGUACGACCGCAAGGUUGAAACUCAAAUGAAUUGACGG
rnacentral:rRNA from 1 species